UACGUAGGUGGCAAGCGUUGUCCGGAUUUAUUGGGUUUAAAGGGUGCGUAGGCGGUCUUUUAAGUCAGUGCUGAAAUAUCCCGGCUUAACCGGGAGGGUGGCAUUGAUACUGGGAGACUUGAGUAAAGUUGAGGUAGGCGGAAUUGACGGUGUAGCGGUGAAAUGCUUAGAUAUCGUCAAGAACACCAAUAGUGAAGACAGCUUACUAAACUUUAACUGACGCUGAGGCACGAAAGUGUGGGGAUCAAACAGG
rnacentral:rRNA from 1 species